rnacentral:lncRNA from 1 species
GAGAAGAAAAAACACAGAAAAAGCUCAAAUCGAAAAUCCAUAAUGGGCCUGGUUAGGAAAAAAUUCAAAGAACCAAGAUUGCUCAAAACCGGCUAAACAAAAAAAUAACCAAAAAUUCUAAUUGCAUUUCUGCAAUUUCUGGAGCUCCGCCACCACCACCACAAGCAGGAAAUUGAACUUCCACAGCCGCCGGAGCCAGGCUUCACCGACCAAACUGCCACCUCCUAGAAAAGUAGCAUGACUCGCCAGAGUAAAGAAGACAUCGACUAACUCACCGUGGUGGGAUGUGAAGCGGGAGUUAGAGAAAUAGAGAAGUAGAUCUGGUCACGAAGCAACCAUCACCGUAGUCAGCCGUCGCCGGGAUACUUUCAAGACCCACCACCAUCCUCCAAAGCAGCGAGUUUACUCAUAAACACCGGCAGUUCCUCCGAGUUUGCCUUUCAAUUCAAGCAUACUUGACAACCGCGCUCCAAACCACCACACCGGCUCGUAACCUCCGUCUCAACGCCGACAGCCACUGAAACCAACCCGAACAGAGAAGUCCCAAGCGCCUCCAACUUUAGCCUUUAUCUGCGUCACCAUAUAUUAUCCUCAGAAGAUCCAGAUCUGCGAAGGGCCUCCGCCUUCAACCACCACCAAAACUCCGCUGCAUCACCGGAGAAGCCAAACUUGCCACCAAUCAGCUCCGGAUAAAACGCCUAACCACGGGAUGAGAAGCCAGGGCAAAGAAAGCUACUGGAGAAGCC